CUGAGGUGUGCUCUCACCAGGACAAGGCCUCAUUGUUUUAGAUAGGACCUAGCAGAGCACUGAAUACGACUUGAGAUGGAAAUGCAGCCUGGAGUCCUGUGGAACUCAUAGAGUGAGGUCUUCCCUGAACACAAGGAACCUGGGCUCUCACCAAAUGGCAGGUGCUGCCGCAGGACUGAAACUCUGAGCAGAUGUUGGAAGUGCUGGACGUUUGUGAGGAACUCGGUCCUGACGCACUAGAAGAAACAGUUCUGCACCCGGGGGCACUUCCUCGAUGCUCAGCAGAAUGCAUGCAGAGGUCAAAGCCAUCAGUAACUUGCCACUUACGUUGGCCAUAAGCCUUGCUGGAUACCAGGGGUUUCCAGCUGCCGCGCUGAGGGCUCUGUGAAGAUAGCCAAUAUUAGCUGUGAACUCUGUAAAUACUUACGAAAUGAGCAAUAACGAAGACAUAUCUGACCUAGUAACAUGACGUAGAGUGAUUGCUUUCCCCUUCAGCUCAGAGGAAAUCAGGAGCUGGAUUUCGUUUGCGCGAGGUUGUCUCCCCUUUAUUUCCUGCCUCACAAACUGGCAGCCUCUGAAGAGGAAGACUUCAGCUUUGCUGGUCUAAGUGUAACCAGGAGCCACUUCGCUUCUUCCUCUGCAGAUUUCUCUUCCGUGGAAUCAAAUAAUGAACCUCCCUCUUGGCAUUGUGGUCCUUGGUUUGGG
ensembl:lncRNA